rnacentral:lncRNA from 12 species
GCUCUGUACCCCUCAGACGUGCACCAUGUAUUGUAAGACGGAUUCCUUUUUGGUCACAUUCCUCCUCCUUUUGUUUUCCUCACUGAGCUGGUCCUGACUCGGUUCUUCUUUUGAAACUAGAGCAAAGAAGGGAAACUCCCGGGGGUGAGCGGGGUGCAUCUGUCUCCCCCCGGUCUUCCUCAUCACAUUGGCUCCAGGGACGCAAGAGCCUGAUCCGCUUCCCGUACUUGCAGGGGAGGCAGGUGAGACCUGCACACCGUCUGCCUUCAGGUGCACCGGUGGGAACAGGCACAGGUGUGUGAGCGUGCCCCCCGCCGGCGUCCUUGACCAGAAACAUGACUUCCAGUUCCUGCACCCUUGGAAACUCAGAGCUUUCCUAACAGCUCUUGCCUUCCCGCUGGGGAUGGGGCCAAGGGGGCUCCCCAACCCCAGGACCGCCUGCGGGGCCAAGUCCACUCUGCCUUCCCGUGUCUGCUGCUCCGACGUCCUGGGCCUGGCGUGUGACAACCCGAGCCGGGUUUACUUUCCUGGGGAGGUGACAAAACCAAACCCGGAGAUCAAGCUGUAUCUCUCAUCGCAAACAGAGAAACGGAAACUGAGUUCUGGGGACACUAUAUGGGUGGUGGAAGAGCCACAGUUCACCCAGAAGAAAUUCCAUCGUCUUAAAAAACAUGAAGAACACGAUAAAGACAUAACGUGA